rnacentral:misc_RNA from 1 species
GUUUGAAGUUUUUGGUGAUUUCUUUGUUUGCUUUGUUGAGGUAAACUUGUGAGGUUUUGGAAAUUUUCUCCAAAUCUGGCAAAAAUGUUUCAUGGAAUUUGGAGGGUAAGUCUCUGAAUUCAGAAAUCAUGUCAUCAUCUUCAUCUUCUAGCCAGCUGUACUGUGAUUUUUUCUGUGGUUUCUUGACUGCAGGGGUUUGGAUUUUAGUAAUUGGGGUUUUGGAUUUGGACUCGCUGCUGUCUUUUUUCAGUUGGGUUUUAAUGGUUUUGGUUGUUUUGUCUGUUUGCUGAAUUUUACUGAUUGAGGUUUUAGAUUUAGACUGAUUGAUGCCUUUUUCCAAUUGGGUAUUAGUUGAUUUGAUUGUUUUGUUCUUGGGAGAAGAAGUUGAGCUGAUUUUGGGUAGAUCUGAGGACUUUUUGAAGGUGGAAGAAGUGAUCUUGGUUGAAUU